GCUGGCGGCAGGCCUAACACAUGCAAGUCGAGCGGUAACAUUUCUAGCUUGCUAGAAGAUGACGAGCGGCGGACGGGUGGGUAACGCGUAGAAAUCUACCUAGUAGUGGGGGAUAGCCCAGAGAAAUUUGGAUUAAUACCGCAUACGCCCUACGGGGGAAAGCGGGGGAUCUUCGGACCUCGUGCUAUUAGAUGAGUCUGCGUCGGAUUAGCUUGUUGGUGAGGUAAUGGCUCACCAAGGCGACGAUCCGUAGCUGGUCUGAGAGGAUGACCAGCCACACUGGAACUGAGACACGGUCCAGACUCCUACGGGAGGCAGCAGUGGGGAAUAUUGCACAAUGGGCGCAAGCCUGAUGCAGCCAUGCCGCGUGUGUGAAGAAGGCCUUAGGGUUGUAAAGCACUUUCAGCAGUGAGGAAAGGGGUGUCGUUAAUAGCGCCAUCCUGUGACGUUAACUGCAGAAGAAGGACCGGCUAACUCCGUG
rnacentral:rRNA from 1 species